CCNUUCAGUGCCGCAGCUAACGCAUUAAGCACUCCGCNUGGGGAGUACGACCGCAAGGUUGAACUCAAAGGAAUUGACGGGGGCCCGCACAAGCGGUGGAGCAAGUGGUUUAAUUCGAAGCUACGCGAAGANCCUUACCAGGUCUUGNCAUCUUCUGCCAAUCCUAGAGAUAGGACGUUCCCUUCGGGGACAGAAUGACAGGUGGUGCAUGGUUGUCGUCAGCUCGUGUCGUGAGAUGUUGGGUUAAGUCCCGCAACGAGCGCAACCCUUAUUAUCAGUUGCCAGCAUUCAGUUGGGCACUCUGGUGAGACUGCCGGUGACAAACCGGAGGAAGGUGGGGAUGACGUCAAAUCAUCAUGCCCCUUAUGACCUGGGCUACACACGUGCUACAAUGGACGGUACAACGAGUCGCGAAGUCGUGAGGCCAAGCUAAUCUCUUAAAGCCGUUCUCAGUUCGGAUUAUAGGCUGCAACUCGCCUACAUGAAGUUGGAAUCGCUAGUAAUCGCGGAUCAGCAUGCCGCGGUGAAUACGUUCCCGGGCCUUGUACACACCGCCCGUCACACCAUGAGAGUUUGUAACACCCAAAGUCGGUGAGGUAACCUUUUGGAGCCAACCGCCUAAGGUGGGACANAUGAUUAGGGUGAAGUCGUAACAAGGUAACC
rnacentral:rRNA from 1 species